GAUGAAGAACGUAGCGAAAUGCGAUAAGUAAUGUGAAUUGCAGAAUUCAGCGAACCAUCGAAUCUUUGAACGCACAUUGCGCCCCCUGGUAUUCCGGGGGGCAUGCCUGUCCGAGCGUCAUUACAACCCUCAAGCUCAGCUUGGUAUUGGGCCCCGCCGACCCGGCGGGCCCUAAAGUCAGUGGCGGUGCCGUCCGGCUCCGAGCGUAGUAAUUCUUCUCGCUCUGGAGGUCCGGUCGUGUGCUCGCCAGCAACCCCCAAUUUUUUUCAGGUUGACCUCGGAUCAGGUAGGGAUACCCGCUGAACUUAAGCAUAUCAAUAAGCGGAGGA
rnacentral:misc_RNA from 1 species